rnacentral:rRNA from 1 species
UGGGGAAUAUUGCACAAUGGGCGCAAGCCUGAUGCAGCCAUGCCGCGUGUGUGAAGAAGGCCUUCGGGUUGUAAAGCACUUUCAGCGAGGAGGAAGGGUAGUGUGUUAAUAGCACAUUGCAUUGACGUUACUCGCAGAAGAAGCACCGGCUAACUCCGUGCCAGCAGCCGCGGUAAUACGGAGGGUGCAAGCGUUAAUCGGAAUUACUGGGCGUAAAGCGCACGCAGGCGUUUUGUUAAGUCAGAUGUGAAAUCCCCGCGCUUAACGUGGGAACUGCAUUUGAAACUGGCAAGCUAGAGUCUUGUAGAGGGGGGUAGAAUUCCAGGUGUAGCGGUGAAAUGCGUAGAGAUCUGGAGGAAUACCGGUGGCGAAGGCGGCCCCCUGGACAAAGACUGACGCUCAGGUGCGAAAGCGUGGGGAGCAAACA